rnacentral:rRNA from 1 species
GGGACAACAGUUGGAAACGACUGCUAAUACCGCAUAAGCCCACGGUGCCGCAUGACACUGAGGGAAAAGGAUUUAUUCGCUCUAGGAUGGACUCGCGUCCAAUUAGCUAGUUGGUGAGGUAACGGCUCACCAAGGCGACGAUUGGUAGCCGGACUGAGAGGUUGAACGGCCACAUUGGGACUGAGACACGGCCCAGACUCCUACGGGAGGCAGCAGUGGGGGAUAUUGCACAAUGGGGGAAACCCUGAUGCAGCGACGCCGCGUGGAGGAAGAAGGUUUUCGGAUUGUAAACUCCUGUCGUUAGGGACGAUAAUGACGGUACCUAACAAGAAAGCACCGGCUAACUACGUGCCAGCAGCCGCGGUAAAACGUAGGGUGCAAGCGUUGUCCGGAAUUACUGGGUGUAAAGGGAGCGCAGGCGGGAAGACAAGUUGGAAGUGAAAACCAUGGGCUCAACCCAUGAAUUGCUUUCAAAACUGUUUUUCUUGAGUAGUGCAGAGGUAGAUGGAAUUCCCGGUGUAGCGGUGGAAUGCGUAGAUAUCGGGAGGAACACCAGUGGCGAAGGCGGUCUACUGGGCACCAACUGACGCUGAGGCUCGAAAGCAUGGGUAGCAAACAGGAUUAGAUACCCUGGUAGUCCAUGCCGUAA